rnacentral:lncRNA from 1 species
UCAUGGAGGAUGCGGGCACGGGGCAGUGGCCUCGAUCCAAUCUGGAUCGAGCAUGGCUUGCCUGUGCUGGUUGACUGGUUGGUUGGCACAAAAAUCUGAGGAGCGGUGGCGGCUAGGGAUGGGACAACCCUCCUAUAUUUUAGGGUUAGGUGCUAUAUAUAUAUAGUUGGGUUAGAGAUAGGUUCAUCGGACCCUCUGAUCUAGAACGGGUGGUCGAGAAGAUUAGUUUAGGGGCUGCAAUGGACAAACCGAAGACGAUUUGCGGCAAAACGGGGUUGAUCCGGAUCCAACGGUCACAACCGCCGGGUUCGGAUUCCGGGAGGUUUUCGGACUGGGCUGCGCGUAGGGUCGAUGCACUGUGCAGAGUGGCUAGGCAUAGAAGAGGGGGAAAACGGGCAACCCGGUGACAGAGUUUGAAAUACCGAAACGUCCGACUAUUGACCGGCUAUAGUGCCGCUAUAUAAUAAACGGCACGGGUAACAAACGAGCUCCGAUCGCAAUGAAAUUUGAUAGACG